ensembl:ncRNA F23F1.11 ncRNA
GGGAACAUCUAAGCUGUAGGCGGGUGCUAAGAACAAGUGUGUUGACCUGUGUCCGCAAGUGUGUUCAAAAUACUGGUUCUAGCAAAUGUGUAAUGACAUGAUACUUACUGAUUUUGUACUUGUUUU